rnacentral:rRNA from 1 species
CAUCCCAGUUCGGAUUGCAGGCUGCAACCCGCCUGUAUGAAGUUGGAAUCGCUAGUAAUCGCGGAUCAGCAUGCCGCGGUGAAUACGUUCCCGGGCCUUGUACACACCGCCCGUCACACCAUGAGAGUCGGGAACACCCGAAGUCCGUAGCCUAACCGCAAGGAGGGCGCGGCCGAAGGUGGGUUCGAUAAUUGGGGUGAAGUCGUAACAAGGUAAC